rnacentral:rRNA from 1 species
CCUACGGGAGGCAGCAGUGAGGAAUAUUGGUCAAUGGCCGCAGGGCUGAACCAGCCAAGUCGCGUGAGGGAUGACGGUCCUAUGGAUUGUAAACCUCUUUUAUAUGGGAAUAAAAUGUUCCACGUGUGGGAUUUUGUAUGUACCAUAUGAAUAAGGAUCGGCUAACUCCGUGCCAGCAGCCGCGGUAAUACGGAGGAUCCGAGCGUUAUCCGGAUUUAUUGGGUUUAAAGGGAGCGUAGGUGGAUUGUUAAGUCAGUUGUGAAAGUUUGCGGCUCAACCGUAAAAUUGCAGUUGAAACUGGCAGUCUUGAGUACAGUAGAGGUAGGCGGAAUUCGUGGUGUAGCGGUGAAAUGCUUAGAUAUCACGAAGAACUCCGAUUGCGAAGGCAGCUCACCGGACUGCAACUGACGCUGAGGCUCGAAAGUGUGGGUAUCAAACAGGAUUAGAUACCCGAGUAGUC